GAUGGAUCCCAGAAGGCAGACUUAAGUUACAAAAUAUAUACACUUGGAAUCAAUCCCAUAAGGAGAUGUAGUUCCUUUGUCCUCUCUGAAGCCAAAAGAGCAUCUCGGGCUGAUGCUUCUUCGAUGAAAGCAAAAUGGAGAAGAGAGAGAUGUGGUGGCCAGUCCUCUGCUUUUGUUACCUGCACAGGUAAGGUCACACCCACCUCUGGUCACAUGUAGAGGAAGUUUGUCCCAGCACAGGAGGAAACAGGAAGUUUAUCUACUGGCUGGACAAACAUCCCUCUUCAUGUCUAAACAUGUCCACUCUAGGAAUGUUGUAUUUGACUGCUCUGUGUUUCACACCCCACAAAACAAACCCACUUCCCACAAUUCAGGGGCUGUGUAACUAUCAAGAGGAUCCCCUCUGCUGAUCUGAUUUACACAAGAGUGCGUCUAUAGGGAAGGAGGAAGCCCUUCAGAUAUUUGAGUUCUAAGUCAUUUAGGGUUUUAAUGUGAGUACCUUAAAUCAGAUCCAGAAAUGAACUGGCGACCAGUGAAAAAUAUAGCAAAAAAAUUACGUGCACAUUGAAAUCCAAAAGGACAGAUCCUGAGAAAUUUUUUGGACCAAGCUCCUUUUAGCUCCCACAAACUUCAAUGCCCAGGAUUCUUUGUGGGGGAAGCCCUGACAGCGAAACUAUUACCAGUGUUUCCAUCAGAGUGGGAUUUUGGGGCCAGACAUACAGGUCCCAAAAUAAGCAGCCAUGCCCCAAAACUGAGAAAGGUCAGCUUGCCGCACUUCAAAGUAAGUGAAUUAAUGCACAUUCUCAUCUAAAGAAGUGAGGGACAUAAGACCAUAAGUCCAGAGUCUAAAGUUACCAUUUGACUGGUACCCAACUCCUAGGUGUUUGUUGUGGAGAUACAGCCUUAGUUUUCUUGCCAAACUCUAUUGCACCUCCACCCAUGUGUGUAUGCAUUUUAUAUCCAAAUCCACCCCCUCUCCUCUUUCUACUUCACACAUUUGAUGGAGUCGGCACUUCUGUGAAAUCAAUUAGAUUUUUUAGAAGCUGCACAGUCUUUGUUUUUUCCCUGUGUAGCUGAGCUGCUCUUCCGAAAUCUGCCUGCUAAGAGUUGUCCACAAAACUCUCAUUUCCUGAACCUAGAAACUGCAGAAAGGUCAAUUAUUUUUCAGACACAUCAUCUCUUUAAUCCUUUUUAGCACCUCGUAAGUAACCGUCAUGCCCUGGAGAUAAUAGCAGAAUUUGCAGGAACAAAUUAGCAAGCAAGGGGGCUUAAAAACAGAGCUUUUGUAAGCUGUUUAAUUGGGGACAUUAUGAUUCUUUUUGAAGUUGCUGACCCACAAAUUAAAAUAAGCUUGCUGCAGUUCCUUAUGGGGGUUUCAAGCAUAUGCUGCUUUCUGAUUUAUUGCUCAAGAUUUGCCUUCUGCUUUUUCAAAGGAAAGAGACGGGCAGUGUGCACAGGUAAUGGUGUGUAGCUGAUGUAGCUGUGAGCUCAUCUCGGCCAAGAAUCUACCAGGUAGAUUUUGGCAAGCCAUCAGCUCUUAGCAAGUCUCCCCUCCAUCUGAAAUUUGUGAAUAAUGAUCCUGACUUCGCUUACACUGAUGUUGUAAAGAUGACUGAAGAGCAAAAUCUGGUAUGGAUUUGUAUUCAAUGGCGUAUUGAUUACCAGGGAAGUCUCACAACCCCCUCAGUUUCACAGUCACAUUCACACAACUUAGAAUGGCUAUGUGGGGGUUUGGGGUAGUUUGGGGGGGCAUUGAGGAUAUCAGAGUGACACCCCCCAGCAUUUCUCCAAUUCCCAUUCAGCUGGUGACCACCAUUUUGUUUUGCCCAGAAUGCCCUGCGAUGAUGCAAUAGCAUGAUGUAGCUUUGUGCUGAGGGGCAUUCUGGGAGACAAAAUGGCGCACACAGACUCUACUGACAGCUACCACGCUAAUGCAGAAAUGCAAAAAAGGAAGGAAGGAAGCUUCACCCUGUCUCACUCACCCCCUCUUUUUGUUUCCCCACAGCUUUCAUUUGAUAGCUUUCAUCCCAACUCUGAAUAAUGUUCGCCUUUUCAUAACAGCCAGUUCCUCCCUGCAGACAACAAAUCAAACCACAAGUCCAGCAGAAGCAAAGGUUUGCAGUUGGAUUUCCCCUUCAAACACUUCAACUUUCCUUAGACUGGAGGAGGAGGGAUUGCAUCUGACAGCAGCCAGGGGUUUAUCUAUAUUUGCAGAACUCUGUAUAACCAGCUUGGUCUGCUAUAGCUAGGUGUAUAUGUCCCAGUUUGUUGUGUAUGCCUUCUCCUUUUCCCCUUUGAUACUUCUGGUUUAUUUCAUGUUUAAUUUACUCCAAAUGAGCUUUGGAUUUCCUUGGAGAAUCAUCUACACAGAAAAGCUUUUGCGUGUUUCUCAGAGCCAACCCAGAUGCUUCAGCUUUGCAGAUAUGCCACUUCUCAUCAGCCUACAAACAGAAGGCAUUAAAAGUUUCGCAUCUCCACCCUGAGCUGUCUCAAACGGUGGUUCAUGUCACAGUGAAUGGAACUAAUUUGCCUGCUAUCCUGCAGUCCUCAAUCAAGCAGAAUUCAACCUGAGUGAGCCCUUGCAAGGGUCAGAUGACAGCUGCAAAACCUAGGUCUGCUUUCCUGGCAGUGAGCCCCAUUUAACACAGGAGGCUUGUUCACAAGUCCACAUGUGCUAGCAUCCGUUUGAAAAGAGUGUACACCCACUGAUUCAUACAGUCUGCGGGUACAAAGAAUACAUGCCGAUUAAAUGCUACCUGUGAAUAACUGUAUGAGUGUACAGCUUGAUUAUUUGUGCACACAGGUGCACUGAUUGCACACUCAUUGAAUGUAUGGUGUGAAACCCUUUGUGGGACUUGCUUAUGAGUAAACAGGGAUAGGGGUACACUGAACAAGCAGUGGCUGUGAUUUGUAGUGCACCCAUCUUUCCAAUGGGUGGAGUCACCCUUCACCUAACAGUAGGAAAGGG
rnacentral:lncRNA from 1 species